UAUUUCGAUUUUUGUGCUCUAU
rnacentral:snRNA from 1 species